CCAUCGUUUUCUAAUCUAGUCUAAAAGGAUUAUAAUCUUACAAUGUGUGAUUCAGACAGAGUGCUUAUAUUACAGGAUCAUCUACAUUUGGCGUAGUUGGACAUGGUGGUCACUUGUGGUGGUCUUCCCUAGAGGUCAUGAAAGUUUCCGUUUGUGCUGUGUGCGAUGAGGGAAUGAGUGGCUUUCAUUCUGGCAGUGCUAAGACCGUCUUUUUGGAGAUAUUUGUUUUUCUUGUAUAACUUUCUGUACACACCUAGUCAUCUACCGACACUGCAAAUUCCCGAGGACCAUAAGAUUGUCCAAGAUGUGGCAAAUUGGGGAUAUGGAGCUCAACUGGUCCUUGCUUGCAUCGGAUGUAUCAUGCAUAAGCAGAUGCAUGUGGAACUGAUAUUCAAUAUUUGCUGAGGGUUCUGGUAUGCUCAUUCUGAGAUUUCGUCUCUAAUAACAUUCCCUAUUUCAGCAAGUUUGAGCUUCAAGAGGCACAGUGAUUCCUCUGUCUUACCUAGUUGCAUGUAUCGAUACACUGGCAUUAGUAUAUUGUGCGUUCCGAAAUACUUGUUUGUUGUUGAUGAGAGUAAAUUGCAGGCUGUACAUAGCUUCUAUCUGAAGGUGAACUACUGGUUCUUAUCAUGCAUGAUCUAUCUGGUAUUUUUCAUGCAGUUCAAUUUGCUUUCUGCUCUUAUAUGACUGAACUUCUAAGGACCUCAUGUCUCCUAAGGAGUCCCAAUCCUGUGCAGAUUUGUUCUUGGACUACUUUCUUCAUGCUCUAUGUGAAGCUUUCUGUCCACCUUUAGCAUCGUCAUGCAUCAUUAUGUCCUUUCUUAUUCCCUUUGUGUGCUUACACUUCUUUUGGGAGGAAAUGUCAAUUGUGUUUGACUUUGUUGUAGGUCUGGAGUGAAUGAACAGUGCUGAAUGAAUUCGCUUUGGUGUAGAGUUGGAGUUCAUGAACAGGAUUUGGUACAACAUUGAUGUUGAUGUAUGUCAGGAUCUCUUAUCCUUAUCCACUGCAGUUGCGGGUGUUGGUCUUGUGCUUGGUUUUAAUUUUAUGAAACUUCCACCUGAGAGAGACGUGAUAGGAACAAACAAUAUUCUUCUUUCAUACCUCUGAGUUAACUUACAUUUGGUUAUGGAUCUUUUGACGUCUUUUGUGGUCCUUAAGGAUUAUUCAUAUGGGUUUCAGUUGUGUAAAUUGAGGACUACAACUUUACUUGGGGGCUAGAUUUGAUAUUCUUUAGCUCAGCACGCGGGUACUAAUACUAGUGCUUCCUUUUGACCUACUUACUCUCUUUUUUUUUGGGCUUUGGGUGAGUAAGUAGGUCAUCCAUUGUUGACAUUGUCAUUUUCUGAAUGUACAGGUUUUCGUUCGGCAAUGCAUUGUUGCUGUAUUCCUUUGUCUCCUGUCACUAUCCAGGUUUCUGGCCAGAUGCUAUGGGGGAAAUGCUGUAUUUUGGUCCUCAGUUACUACAUUAAGAUUGGUUGUCUAAAGCGGGAAAAAAAUAAUAGGCAGGUGGAAAGUAGGUAUUGGCGUAAACCAAAUGUCACACUGGAGAUUGGAUUUAUUCAAAAUAAAGGUGAAAUUAAAUUCUAAAUAACGACCGCGAAUAAAUAUCAUCAAUAGUCCUGAUACUGCAUUUGUAAGGGAAAAAAAU
rnacentral:lncRNA from 1 species